ensembl:lncRNA novel transcript
UAGUUCGAAUGUGCUGAGUCUGAGGUGCUAAUGAGACAGACAGGUGGAGGAGAGUGCAAAGGACCUAGGAAGUCCUGGACACAUGUUUGAGACUGGAGCUAUAAAAAGUAGUAUGACACAAAUGAGUACUCUUUAAACAAUUUUGAUCAUGAACCCUGUCAAUAAAAAUUGGUCAGCUGGAUUUGAAGGCCAUGAUUUACAUGUGCAGCAACAAUGGAUUCCCAAAUAUGCCCGCUGCAAGAGACUUAGCUCCCCAAUCAGUCAGGGCAGCAUCAGGUAUGCAGGUGUCUCCUCUGGGUGCUGCGGAAGAGCAGAGUGAGAUGUGCUUUUUGUAGGUGGCAAAUCCCCAAAGAGGAAGGAAGAAAGGACUGGGACAAGCACCUUCAGCUUCUUCCAAGCUUACCAUCCUAUAAGCUACUCCUCUUUCCUGGAAGAGGAGAGUUUCCUGGUGGAGCCGGAAGCUGUAGACCCUUCCACUUGUAACAUCAAAGUAGAGAAAAGAAAUCCCCCUGAUGCCACACAUGCUUUUAAAUAAGAUGCAAUAAACUCUUUGCUUAUGAUCACA